UACGUAGGGGGCAAGCGUUGUCCGGACUCAUUGGGCGUGAAGCGCGUGUAGGCGGCUUGGUAAGUCCGCUCUGAAAGCCCGGGGCUCAACCCCGGGAGGCGGGUGGAUACUGUCAAGCUCGAGUCCGGAAGAGGAGUGUGGAAUUCCUGGUGUAGCGGUGAAAUGCGCAGAUAUCAGGAGGAACACCGGUGGCGAAGGCGGGUCUCUGGGCCGAUAUUGACGCUGAGGAGCGAAAGCGUGGGGAGCGAACAGG
rnacentral:rRNA from 1 species